rnacentral:lncRNA from 10 species
UUCCGCUCAAGUUCCUCCGCCGCGACCUCAGGACAGGCCGAAGAGGCGCGCACUACUCACGUGUCUUCCAAGUGCUGCUCCAAGGUCGCCUCCAUCCCACCCACCGACCACUCCGGCUCAGAACCCAGCGGCACGGCACGUCCUUCUCCACCACAGGCCUCAGUCACUUGACGCGAGCGGGGCGUGGACCGUAACGGCGCCUCCAAAGGGACAAAAUUGAUCACGGUGCAACGUCCGCGUUCUUUACUGGAAAACAUCACUGCGCUUCCGUCGCACAGAGCCUGACGAAGGCUUGGGCUCCCCGCGCGGUGACCGUCGAGGUGACCUGCACCUGGCUCCAUGGCGGAACCGGCCGGCACGGAUUAUUCCCCUCUCGGGAGAGGUCUGCAGCCGGGCCUCAGUGCUUCAGUUCGUGGCCUGGCAUUUUGUGAAGAGUGUCUUCAUCUCUGCAUCCCUAGUGCAACAGAGCAUGACAAAAAUUCAACAAAUAUUUAUUGAAGAGUCUUGAUGUCUUUUGGGAAAGGAACUCUAUGGUUACCUUUACUCUAAGAUUAGAUGGGUGUUACUGAUUCUUACCUCAGAGAAGAGAAUGUCAUGGAGACAAAAUGACCUGCUUAGAGUUCUGCACCCCCCAGCAUGGAGAGCAGAGCGCAAAGAUUUCUUCCGGACUCCCACAUUCCCCUUGGAAUCCAAGAACUGGUCUACUGUCACAACACUUUAGUACCCUCUUGUAAGCCUGUGGACAAAUCCUCUGAUGCCUUGAUACCUCGGUUUUCCCCCACUAUAAAUGGGAAGAUAAAUUCACUAGAAACAGUACUUACCUUGCAGUGUCAUUAUGAGAAUUUCAUGAGACAAUGCAAUAUAAAGCUCCUAGCACAGUUCCAGGCACCAUUGUAAGCACUGAACAAAUGAAAGCUGUUGUCAUUAGGAUCUCAAGAAAUGACAGCUGAGGCAAAUGUGGAUUAGACUGCAUUCAGCAUUCUUAGCUGCAAGCAACAGAAGCUGACGCUGGUUUAAAGAAUAGGAAAGGAAGUUAAUUAAAA